UGGGGAAUUUUGCACAAUGGGGGAAACCCUGAUGCAGCGACGCCGCGUGAUUUAGAAGGCCUUCGGGUUGUAAAAAUCUUUUCUAUGGGAAGCAAAUGACAGUACCAUAGGAAUAAGCACCGGCUAAUUACGUGCCAGCAGUCGCGGUAAUACGUAAGGCCCGAGCGUUGUCCGGAAUCAUUGGGCGUAAAGGGUACGUAGGCGGGUAAGCAAGUUAGAAGUGAAAUCCUAUAGCUCAACUAUAGUAAGCUUUUAAAACUGCUCAUCUUGAGGUAUGGAAGGGAAAGUGUAAUUCCUAGUGUAGCGGUGAAAUGCGCAGAUGUGAGGAAGAAUACCGGUGGCGAAGGCGACUUUCUGGCCAUAACCUUACGCUGAGGUACGAAAGCGUGGGUAGCAAACAGG
rnacentral:rRNA from 1 species